UUUGAAUAAAAAUGAAAAAAUUGGUGUCAAUUUCGUUGAGUAUUUGGAUUCUCCAAAACAGGUUGUCAGAAAGUACCGGGUGUGUGAUGUGAUAAAACUAUUCAACCAGAAUUACAGUGAAGCUUGUGGGAAAACGUGCCGA